AUGAACGCUAGCUACAGGCUUAACACAUGCAAGUCGAGGGGCAGCAUGGUCUUAGCUUGCUAAGGCCGAUGGCGACCGGCGCACGGGUGAGUAACACGUAUCCAACCUGCCGUCUACUCUUGGACAGCCUUCUGAAAGGAAGAUUAAUACAAGAUGGCAUCAUGAGUCCGCAUGUUCACAUGAUUAAAGGUAUUCCGGUAGACGAUGGGGAUGCGUUCCAUUAGAUAGUAGGCGGGGUAACGGCCCACCUAGUCUUCGAUGGAUAGGGGUUCUGAGAGGAAGGUCCCCCACAUUGGAACUGAGACACGGUCCAAACUCCUACGGGAGGCAGCAGUGAGGAAUAUUGGUCAAUGGGCGAGAGCCUGAACCAGCCAAGUAGCGUGAAGGAUGACUGCCCUAUGGGUUGUAAACUUCUUUUAUAAAGGAAUAAAGUCGGGUAUGCAUACCCGUUUGCAUGUACUUUAUGAAUAAGGAUCGGCUAACUCCGUGCCAGCAGCCGCGGUAAUACGGAGGAUCCGAGCGUUAUCCGGAUUUAUUGGGUUUAAAGGGAGCGUAGAUGGAUGUUUAAGUCAGUUGUGAAAGUUUGCGGCUCAACCGUAAAAUUGCAGUUGAUACUGGAUAUCUUGAGUGCAGUUGAGGCAGGCGGAAUUCGUGGUGUAGCGGUGAAAUGCUUAGAUAUCACGAAGAACUCCGAUUGCGAAGGCAGCCUGCUAAGCUGCAACUGACAUUGAGGCUCGAAAGUGUGGGUAUCAAACAGGAUUAGAUACCCUGGUAGUCCACACGGUAAACGAUGAAUACUCGCUGUUUGCGAUAUACAGCAAGCGGCCAAGCGAAAGCGUUAAGUAUUCCACCUGGGGAGUACGCCGGCAACGGUGAAACUCAAAGGAAUUGACGGGGGCCCGCACAAGCGGAGGAACAUGUGGUUUAAUUCGAUGAUACGCGAGGAACCUUACCCGGGCUUAAAUUGCAGAUGAAUUACGGUGAAAGCCGUAAGCCGCAAGGCAUCUGUGAAGGUGCUGCAUGGUUGUCGUCAGCUCGUGCCGCGAGGUGUCGGCUUAAGUGCCAUAACGAGCGCAACCCUUGUUGUCAGUUACUAACAGGUUCCGCUGAGGACUCUGACAAGACUGCCAUCGUAAGAUGUGAGGAAGGUGGGGAUGACGUCAAAUCAGCACGGCCCUUACGUCCGGGGCUACACACGUGUUACAAUGGGGGGUACAGAGGGCCGCUACCACGCGAGUGGAUGCCAAUCCCCAAAACCUCUCUCAGUUCGGACUGGAGUCUGCAACCCGACUCCACGAAGCUGGAUUCGCUAGUAAUCGCGCAUCAGCCACGGCGCGGUGAAUACGUUCCCGGGCCUUGUACACACCGCCCGUCAAGCCAUGGGAGCCGGGGGUACCUGAAGUGCGUAACCGCGAGGAGCGCCCUAGGGUAAAACUGGUGACUGGGGCU
rnacentral:rRNA from 1 species